GGGGCCAUAGCUCAGUUGGUAGAGCACCUGCUUUGCAAGCAGGAUGUCGUCGGUUCGAUUCCGGCUGGCUCCACCA
rnacentral:tRNA from 1 species